AUGCCUGGUUUGGUUAUGCUACGGUUAAGAUCAAACAACUUUUCUAGUCACAUUCCAGUUGAAAUAAUGGGACUUCAUGAUGUUCGUAUUCUGGAUCUAUCCAAUAAUAACUUUUUUGGGGACAUACCAAAGUGCGUAGGAAACUUGAAAACUUUCACUGACACAGCUAUUGCUAAUGAUGCAUCAUUUGAUAAUCCUUUCUUUGAAGGAUACAGUGGCGCUACGCACAGUUCCAUGGGUAUGUCUAAUGGUAGCUUCACAGUGGUGAUAAAAGGGCAAGUGCUCGAGUAUGGGGAGAAUAUAGUAUAUUUGAUGAGCAUUGAUUUAUCUUGCAACAGUUUAACUGGAGAAAUCCCAGAGGAGCUAAGCUCCCUUGCCGGGCUAAUAAAUUUUAAUUUAUCAUCAAACUUGUUGAGUGGAAAUAUCCCAUAUAAUAUUGGCAACCUUGGAUCGCUGGAGUCUCUUGACCUCUCAAAGAACAAACUUGGUGGUGAAAUUCCUCAAGGCUUAUCAGAUUUGACAUACCUGAGCUAUCUAAACUUGCCAUACAACAAUCUGUCAGGAAAAAUACCCUCGGGGCAUCAACUUGACAUCCUCAAGACAGAUGAUCCAGCCUCCAUGUACAUUGGUAAUCCCCUUCUCUGUGGACAUCCAGUUCGAAAUAAAUGUAUUGUUCCUCCUAGAGAUCGCCCAACUAGGGAAGAUUCAGCAAGGUGGCUUGAAGAUGGCUUAUCUCAAAUGGAUUUUCUUCUAGGAUUAAUCAUUGGUUUUGUGACUGGCGCUUGGAUGGCAUUUUGCGGGCUUCUUUUCAAGAAGAGAUGGAGGUAUGUUUGCUUUAGGCUUCGGGACAAGUUGUAUGACAGAUUGCAUGUCAUUUCUGUUGUUACUUGGCGGAAAUGGUUUGAGAACACCGGCAACGGCGGAGCUAUCACUAGUAGAAAAAGAGGCUUCCAUACGCCCGCAUUAGUCCCCAAAAUAAUCGAACCGCGACCAAAGGGGUCUUUAGUCGUGGUUCGGGAGAAGACCCGCGACCAACUAUCUGGGCCCAGCGCGCUCGGUCGACAGCUGGCGGACGGGAGGGGCGGGACUAAAGGUCCUCAGGCUGGCCCGAAGGCCUUUAGUCGCGGUUGGCCAGACCAACCGGGACUAAAGGUUAGUCCUUUAGUCGCGGUUGGCCAGACCAACCGGUACUAA
rnacentral:rRNA from 1 species